GACGAACGCUGGCGGCGUGCUUAACACAUGCGAGUCGAACGGAAAGGCCCUGCUUUUGUGGGGUGCUCGAGUGGCGAACGGGUGAGUAACACGUGAGUAACCUGCCCUUGACUUUGGGAUAACUUCAGGAAACUGGGGCUAAUACCGGAUAGGAGCUCCUGCUGCAUGGUGGGGGUUGGAAAGUUUCGGCGGUUGGGGAUGGACUCGCGGCUUAUCAGCUUGUUGGUGGGGUAGUGGCUUACCAAGGCUUUGACGGGUAGCCGGCCUGAGGGGGUGACCGGCCACAUUGGGACUGAGAUACGGCCCAGACUCCUACGGGAGGCAGCAGUGGGGAAUAUUGCACAAUGGGCGGAAGCCUGAUGCAGCAACGCCGCGUGUGGGAUGACGGCCUUCGGGUUGUAAACCGCUUUCGCCUGUGACGAAGCGUGAGUGACGGUAAUGGGUAAAGAAGCACCGGCUAACUACGUG
rnacentral:rRNA from 1 species